AGAGUAAUCUUGGUCAGAGGAGAUAGAAAGGUAUGGGGGUGAUUCUGGUUCUGAGGAUGAUGAAGAGGAAGUGCUUUGGUUCAUUUGUUCAGGUUCAGAAGGAGGUAUGAAUGUACGGGCGAUAUUUAGAAUUGGUGAAGAUUGUGAAGUUUUGGUGGUUGAAGGUGGGAUAUCAGAGGUUGUAAAAAUGGGUGGUGUUGGGAGAGGAUU
rnacentral:lncRNA from 1 species